rnacentral:lncRNA from 1 species
CGCAUGGCAUGUGAUGUAUUUUGUUUACACUGCUAAGUGAGUGAAACAAUAAAGUACACAUUUAGGAAGAAAAUAACAACAAAAGUGCUGGCGUAAACCGUAAUCAGUUUAGAGUAACUGAAAAAGUGCUUCAUCUUGGUAUAGUAGGUUAAGAAGGAGAGGCCGAGCAAUUGGAUGACAGAGAGAAUCGUGAAAUCCCCCCUCGAAGUUUUGGCGGCGAUUGUUCAAACAUGAAAGUGAAAUAAGAAACCGAAGACAAGACGUGGGCGGCAUUCCACAGGAAAACCUGCAAAAUAAGAUAAUAAUACUGGAGGGUCACAGGUCCUUCCAACAGGAACACGUUUCCGGUCAAAACUUCAGACUCGUUGUCGUAGAUGAAAACUACGUAAAGCAUAGCUCCAUUGAUAACAACGUUAUUUACCUCUGAGGAGGUUUUGUUGCCUUCUUUUAUUUCCAGAGUAUAAGUUCCCGCGUUGAUCUCGUGCUGUAUUCCUCUUUCAAUACGGAAGGCGGUGUUUUUCAGUGUCUUCGUUUCGAUAAAGUUCAAGCUAGGACUUUCCUUGAGAGACGUUAACCCGUGAAUUACGAAGAAAGAAGAAACACUAUUAUUUAUUUCCCCAGCCGGAAAUAGUGUUGGAUCGUAAUCCCCGUUCUGAAAUAAACCGUUUUUCGUAAUAAUGACAGAUAUGGAUUUUCUUGCUUUCACGGAUACCGGAUAUGUCCUGGACGAUUCAGUGGUGUUCCUUUUUUCUGUUAUUGUUACCCAAAGUUUUGCAGACUUCCCAACAGGAACUCCAGUCUCAAGGGCAUAUUCGAAAGGUUCUACUUCGGUAUCAUUUAUAAAGCCGGCGAUAUUGAUGGUGCAGGAAUAGGGCAACGUGUUGAAUAUCCUUAAAUUGGACGUGUACUCUUCCGGCAUAAAAUGCAGUUCAUCUUCCAACUGUAUCUGUACGACCAGUGAACACAUAACUACGAGGGUUAACGCGAGGUACCCAGUAAGAUAUAUGUGAAGAUUGGAAAAGUUACGUUUUCGCAAGAUAGGAUAGACUAUAAAUUCAUUCAAUGGAAAAAGAAUGAUAUCAAAAAUCGCGGAAUACCAUUGAAGGUCCAUAUCCGCCCACCAAUGCGUUCGAUUUCUAGAAGAGAAUUCCGCCUGGUUGACGGUAUUUGACGACGGCCGGAGACGUUUCAUCAAGGUAUUGAAUCUCACCCUUAUCCUCUUCGUUUUUGUCGGGCAUGUUGGCUGUGCUAUUGGAAAAUGGACAUAAGAAAUCUAUUAUUUUCCUCCAAAUGCCCGGCGAAUUAGACUCCGAUGGCGUUUCCGUGUCUGGAACCAGCUUAUUCGAUGAGGAAAACGGAGUGAAGAUAUGAAGACGAAAUACGCGCUCACCGACAAGAUAGCGAGGAUGCUCAUAUGUAACGGAUUCCCAAGGCCCGUUUCGAAUAGAAGCUCGCACACGAAUCUCAUCAAAAUCCUAAAAACAUAUUCCUGACCGCCGACACGGCGUAAGACAGGACCAUCAUCGAUCUUGACAAAUGCAGAAAGGAAACAUGAGACCUCUCGU